UUCCUUUUCAGAAGAUACAAAGCCAAAGACUCAUACGGAUAUCGGCUAAACCAUCAAACCUUUGAGAAGCAAUAAGAAGCUUUGUUAGUAUUUUGGAGUCAAAUAUGACUAGAUGUCAUGUUUAUGAUUGAGUAUAAGAACUAGAACCGCAACCGGUUC
rnacentral:sRNA from 1 species